rnacentral:rRNA from 1 species
AUUGAACGCUGGCGGCAGGCCUAACACAUGCAAGUCGAGCGAGCGGCGGACGGGUGAGUAAUGUCUGGGAAACUGCCGGAUGGAGGGGGAUAACUACUGGAAACGGUAGCUAAUACCGCAUACCAUCAGAUGUGCCCAGAUGGGAUUAGCUGGUAGGUGGGGUAACGGCGCACCUAGGCGACGAUCCAUAGCUGGUCUGAGAGGAUGACCAGCCACACGGGAACUGAGACACGGUCCAGACUCCUACGGGAGGCAGCAGUGGGGAAUAUUGCACAAUGGGCGAAAGCCUGAGGCAGCCACGCCGCGUGUGUGAAGAAGGCCUUCGGGUUGUAAAGCACUUUCAGCGGGGAGGCGUUACCCGCAGAAGAAGCACCGGCUAACUCCGUGCCAGCAGCCGCGGUAAUAC